UAUGGUGUCCCAUACUCGGAAUUUGUGCUCUGCAUUUAACCCAUCCAUGUGCACACACUCAGCAGCGAGUAAUGAAACACACACACUCGGAGCAGUGUGCAGCCAUUUUUGCUGCAUCACCCGGGGAGCAGUUAAGGGCUCAUUGCACCUCAGUCAUGGUAUUGAUGGUGGAAGAGAGUGCUGUACAUUCAUUCCCCCCACCUAUCGAGUCAAAAUAGGGCCAUAUAUAUCUGCAAAAUAAAACAAUGUUUUGCAAACAAAAAAUAUGUUUUGCAAAUAAAAAAAAUAUGUUUUGCAAAUAAAAAUAGCGUAUUGAGAAAAAAAUUGCUUUUUUGCAAGUAAAAAAAAAUAAUUGCAAAAAAAAAAGUUUACCACAAGAGAAAAAAUAAAGUUUAGCAAAGUAAAACUUCAACAGCAAUGACUUUGCAACACAUUUCCCUUUGCGCUGCUCCUUUAAAUCCGCGUUUCAGUCAUCCGUGCCUCUGCGGUGCAAGCUUUCCUUUGCGCUUCAUUUUUUCUUUGCGCCUCGCUUUGUGUCACUGAUUUGACGUGGGGGAGGGGUCAAGAGGUUGAGGUGUGUACAAGGGAUGAAGGCGCAUCCUUCUCGUUACGUCAUCAGCGCGAGCCCCAGACAAGGGGCAAGGAACUCGACCGGAAGUUGAAGUCGGGUGGGGGCUGCCAUCUUUUAGCAGAACUUCACUUGCGUUAGCAUUCCCAUUGACUCCCAUUCAUUUUGGCGUCACUUUGACAGCGAAUAACUUUACAUCUGAGGCGUUUAAAGACUCUGUUUGUCCAUUAUUUAUUUCUAAAGAUACACGAAAAUGUAUAAUGGGCUCCAUUACCUUCUAUGUUACAUUAUGGCCCCGUAUAAACAGUUUUUGUAAAAAAUAGGCUAACGAUUGCGUCAUAACCACUCGGCUCUCUGUCGCAUUACCGUACAGACAGGUGGAGAAGCUCGCAGGCAAUUAACUUAAUAUGGCGUACUGCCGUUACAUUUUAAAAUACUAUACAAAAUAAUUAAUCAGAAUACUUACUCCUGCUCACUCACGCCAAAGAAAUCCCUGCUCAAGCUCGCCGUCUCUGCAAGAUUAACGAUGACAGUUUGCACUCACAGCUACUAGAAGAUUUACAUCUGUCAGACAGGUUGCUGACGUCAUCAAGCUUCGUUUGAGUCUGCGCGUCAGAAACGGAAGUGCUAAAAAACGCUAAAACUGGGCUUCAUUUGUCUCAAUUGAGUUGCAAUGGGGUCGCUGUGUCCAUUUCUUUUACUGUCUAUGGCCCCAGACCGAGUGGAUCGAUCGAAAUGGAGGAGCAGAGACAUGCGGGUGAUGGAUCACAGGUGGAGGAAGAAGAAACUGAUCUCUCUGCAUGGUAUGAACAAAUUAUUAACUGUGGUUUUAUUGGGGCCGUUAAACCUGAGAACAAAGAGGCCAUAAUAAGAUCAAUUGUGCUUCAUGCAACUCUACGUUUGGUCCCUUUGUUGAAGCAAAUCUGAAAAGGUCUUGAAGUCUACAAUCCUGGAAAACCAUUCAGGACUUUGCCACCAGUUCUUUUUCCCUGAUGUGGUGGAUGAUGAUGAUGAUAAGGCUGAUGCAGACUUCAUCAUGCAGAACAUUCUUCCGAAAAUGUCGGAGAAGGGAUCAGUACAAGAGACUUAUGAAACCGCUAUAAUCAACUUUCUGCAAGACUUUCUCCAAGAAAUUGAAAGCUGUGUUAUGUAUGAACUGACAGAGUUGAUUUAGUAUAAAUAUUGUAAAAAAAAAAACUACAAAUUAAUGUUAAAAUGUAAUUGAUUUAAUUCAGACAAUAUCAACCCCAACCAAGCCAUUCAAUUUGACAAUGGUUUAAACUGAAUUUAAAAUUAUACUAAAGGUAUGGAAUUGUACAUGUUCAGGAAAAUAAAAACUUUUAUACAUUGGUAAAUGUUCUUAUGGUUUUGAAAUUUACUGUGUAUGUGUAGAGAACACAACGUGUUACAUAAUGUAAAAUUGUAUAUCUUAAUGAAUGUGUUAAGAGAACACAAGUUGUUAUACUAGCCAUUUUCUGCUUUAAAUAUAGCCAAUACAGAAAAUAAAACAAGCAUGCAAUGUCACCUUAA